CGGGAUGAUGAGGGAAGUUUCGUCCGAGCGGUGAGGAAACUCGCAUGGGCUGACC
rnacentral:misc_RNA from 1 species